AACGAACGCUGGCGGCAGGCUUAACACAUGCAAGUCGAGCGCCCCGCAAGGGGAGCGGCAGACGGGUGAGUAACGCGUGGGAAUCUACCCAUCUCUACGGAAUAACGCAUGGAAACGUGUGCUAAUACCGUAUACGGCCUUCGGGAGAAAGAUUGAUCGGAGGUGGAUGAGCCCGCGUUGGAUUAGCUAGUUGGUGGGGUAAGGGCCAACCAAGGCGACGAUCCAGAGCUGGUCUGAGAGGAUGAUCAGCCACACUGGGACUGAGACACGGCCCAGACUCCUACGGGAGGCAGCAGUGGGGAAUAUUGGACAAUGGGCGCAAGCCUGAUCCAGCCAUGCCGCGUGAGUGAUGAAGGCCCUAGGGUUGUAAAGCUCUUUCACCGGUGAAGAUAAUGACGGUAACCGGAGAAGAAGCCCCGGCUAACUUCGUGCCAGCCGCCGCAGUAACAC
rnacentral:rRNA from 1 species